rnacentral:rRNA from 1 species
UACGUAGGGGGCGAGCGUUGUCCGGAUUUAUUGGGCGUAAAGAGCGUGUAGGCGGCCAGGUAGGUCUGCUGUGAAAACUCGAGGCUCAACCUCGAGACGUCGGCGGAAACCAUCUGGCUAGAGUCCGGAAGAGGAGUGUGGAAUUCCUGGUGUAGCGGUGAAAUGCGCAGAUAUCAGGAAGAACACCUAUGGCGAAGGCAGCAAUCUGGGACGGUACUGACGCUGAGACGCGAAAGCGUGGGGAGCGAACAGG